UACGAAGGGGGCUAGCGUUGUUCGGAUUUACUGGGAGUAAAGCGCACGUAGGCGGAUCGUUAAGUCGGGGGUGAAAUCCUGGAGCUCAACUCCAGAACUGCCUUCGAUACUGGCGAUCUUGAGUCCGGAAGAGGUGAGUGGAACUCCUAGUGUAGAGGUGGAAUUCGUAGAUAUUAGGAAGAACACCAAUGGCGAAGGCGGCUCACUGGUCCGGUACUGACGCUGAGGUGCGAAAGCGUGGGGAGCAAACAGG
rnacentral:rRNA from 1 species